ACUACUCCUAUCAGCAUUGUAGAUGUGGCUGCCGUGUCACAUGUUUGUCAUUGAAUGGCAGAGAAGACAGCGACUAUGUCUAAGCCCAGUGUUUUGACCUAUUAACACUCACUAAAAAUGGUCAGCUGAGA